UCAUUCAUUGGUUUCUUUCGCUUUAGUCUUCUUGGGCGAGAAGAUUUCAGAGUUUGGACUCAAUCCCGACUCAUGGUCUACAGCAUGUCAAGAAACAGAUAUUGUGAGCGAAUUGGCAGACAACACAAAAGCAAUCAUGGUAAAGCCAAUGCGUUGUUGCAUGGUAAAACCAUCUGUUUAUGCCCUCUGUUUGUGCCUUCUAAUUUUCUUUAUUUUCAACAAUUCCACAUUCAGUUUUAAAGAAAAUAGGAGGUGGUGAUGAAAUUCGAUGGAGAGGCUGUUUUAGGAAGCAUGGAGAGGCUGCAUUGUCAGAAGUAUACUGUUAUUAUGCUUUUUAGUCCUAAGUGACACUAAACAUGGGUUAGGAUUAUUGAAAAAUAAGCCUGGCUUAAGUAGUGUUAGACUAUAUUAGAAUUUAAGCCUGGGUUACAGUGUCCCGUGUAACAAACAUGGGUUAGGGAGCAGUCUUAAGAAAACAUAUAAAAGAAGUUUUUUAUUUUUAUUUUUUGGGAAAAUGCCCAUUUAGUACUAAUUUAAACCCCUCAUUCCUCAUUCCAAUGAUAAUCUUUUUCAUUAGCCCAUUUCAAUAUAAGGUAACCUCUUUUAUGCUCAAAUGCACAAAUCUUUACUAAAGUCUUAACAAACUAUAUUAUUUUAAGACUAUUUUGCCCUCACCCCUUAAACAUGCAUAGAGAGAGAAAAUGGAAGAGAGAAUAUUUGGCCGGAAUGUCACCGGACUCCAGUCACCGGCCGUCGGACUCUGGUCACCGGCCGCCGGACUACGGUCACCGGUUGCCG